CCUACGGGGAGCAGCAGUGGGGGAUAUUGCACAAUGGGGGAAACCCUGAUGCAGCGACGCCGCGUGGGUGAAGAAGCGCCUCGGCGCGUAAAGCCCUGUCAGCAGGGAAGAAAAUGACGGUACCUGAAGAAGAAGCCCCGGCUAACUACGUGCCAGCAGCCGCGGUAAUACGUAGGGGGCAAGCGUUAUCCGGAUUUACUGGGUGUAAAGGGGGCGCAGACGGGGAUGCAAGCCAGGAGUGAAAGCCCGGGGCCCCACCCCGGGACUGCUCUUGGAACUGCGUGGCUAGAGUGCAGGAGGGGCAGGCGGAAUUCCUGGUGUAGCGGUGAAAUGCGUAGAUAUCAGGAGGAACACCGGUGGCGAAGGCGGCCUGCUGGACUGCAACUGACGUUGAGGCCCGAAAGCGUGGGGAGCAAACAGGAUUAGAUACCCUUGUAGUC
rnacentral:rRNA from 1 species